GAUGUGGGACUAAUCGUUCGGGCUUUAGACCCAAAUCGAGAGACGGGGAUUUUAGCCGGUACUGGUGGAGUACUAAUGCUACCCCGCGCUUCCCCUCAUCCGACACGUUGUCGCUCGCACAUCUCUCAUCUGCCGAUGUGGGACUACACCUUCUGAGUCUCGAUGCCCCCAUCCCGAAACCCUAGCUCUCCGAUCCUCCGGCUAAAUCGCUUUACCCAUGUCUGUGGCAGUAGUAGUCAUCUGAAGGAAUUUUUCAUCCGGUGGUCCAUUGGUUUGUCUGCGCUUUGCAUUGCGUGCUGCAGAUUUACAUUUGGGUGUCGUUCUGUUCUGGGAUACUUGUAACUCCUUUUCCUCCACACGGUAUUGUGCACAUAGUUAAUCAGCGGGCUGAAACUUUGAUUGCAGAGGGUGAAGAAGGUGGGAUCAAAAGGAUUUUGAGUAUUUGACAUCUGUGAGUUGUUCUACCUCAACUUGGAUGCAAACUGAAACAUCGGGUUCUUUUUUGUCCCAUGAAUACUGUGAAUGGUGUUAUGUUAACUUGUCUUCAAAUGCAUCGAGCAAUUCUAUCAAUGGUUCAGGUAAAAAAUGGUGGCAACAGGAUACGCUUACUUAUCAUUGAUUCUACAUCAUAUUUCAUAACACCCAUCCUUGGAGGCAAAAAUUCACAAGGUAUGCACCUCCUAUACUUGGCAUGGUUGCCUCCAAAAUGGAUCAGAUCCAUCUUUAUGGAGCAGAUUUAUAUCCUCUCUAUGGAAAUUCGCACUUGCGUCAAUGUCAAUGUGUAAUUUUCUUAAUUAAAACCUGUGUGCUGCCUCAAACACAAUCUAGUUAGAAGAAGAUGGUGGAUGGCAUUGUGGUCUAAUUAGGAAGCAAGCUUAGUUUGCCUUUUUUUUUUGUCCACAUGCCUCAUGAUUAAUUUGACAUAAAUUCUAUUGUUUCCAACUCCUUGCUUGAGUAGCUUUAUAUGAAAUCCACAAAAACACAAGUACAUGAAGGAAUAAUUUGAUUUUUAUCAUAGUGUCACGGACUUAGCUGGAAUUGCCUAAGUCGUGAGGCACCCUUACGGCAAAGACGCGAACUUAGCUUGCGUUGCCUAAGUCGCGAGUUACCCUUGCGGCAAAGACGCGAACUUAGCUUGCAUUGCCUAAGUCGCGCUUUGCCCUUGCGAUUUGCGUCCGCAAAGAUCAGCCCACUUGCAACCUCUCGCAAGUCCCGAAGGACCUAUAAAAGAGAAAGUUGAUUAGUUCGAAGAACGAGCGACAGACUAGUCUCGACGUCUUGCGAAAAUGGGAAGCUUUACAAACAAUUCAGCGAGCACCUUGCGUGCACAAGAGAAAAGAGGAAGAGGAGGAAAACAAGGACUUUAGAGGGUUGAACGAACAGCUGCUAGUCCAUAAACAGCUGCUCACUGGGUGCCGGGCGCGACAACAAGUUCCCGUCAUGGUAACGUGCGAACUUGCGAAAGAUUGUUCAACACCCGACACUAUACCGAAGCCCCAUCCCCCAUGGUGCCACCCGGGUGGUUCCAGGGUGCUGAGAUGGCUGACGUUUCGCGUGCGGCAGCGGGCUAUAGAAAACAGCCCGUGGCACGCGAAAACGGAGCUGUUUUCGGGCUGUUUUGCUCGGUUCGAUGAGCGGUCGGACUGUAGCAUUGCAACUUGUUCGAACUUACAUUUUUACAAGCAAAAGGACUUGAAACUAAGCCAAAACAUGCUGCCAAGCAGUUGUACAUAUAGACGAGAGCGACGAACGGUUCGUUGAACGGAGUUGUUGCGGGUGCGUGUCGACCGUUCGUGACAAUAGGGUGGAUCAGUUUAGGCUUGUCGAAAAUGAAGUAGUAGAUUUAUGGCAUGAAGAACCUUAUAAAUAACUUGCCCAUAGAACAUGCUGGAAAAGGGCUGCAAUGAUUUGUAAAAAAUACCAAACAUGAAAUGACAAUUCAAAAUUGAUGAUUUUUUUUUAAAUUUUCAUUGAAUGGUCCCAACUUAAUUUGGUUCUCAUUGCUUUAACUCGGCACAUUGGCUCAGGCUUUGUUGGCUUUGGUUUGCAUCAGUUCAUGUCAAUUUCAGUCAGUUGAAGUGAAUACCUAGUUCUGCUUAGAUUUGUACACGCAUCACAUUCCAAUUUCUCAUCUAACAAUAUGUGUCAUCUGAUGCUGCUCCAGAAACAAACUGGAAGUAUAUCUUUGAUGUUUCCGAGUGUCCCAGUACGAAUAUCCUAUAUUACCAGUUAUGAUAACUGUGUAUGCAUGUAAAUGAUUUAUGCUAGAUACAUAAGUUGCAUUGUCAUGAGUUCCUUUGACCUAAUUUUGAUCAAAAUGCAGGACUACCGUUGAUGAUUUCAACUGGAAUUCUGCUGAAGAAAAUAGCAAAUGAAUACAACCUGACAGUAACGUUGCAUAUUAUUUUGUGCUUGGCUGCAUGAUUCCUGUCUCAUUUUUCUGUGAUGAAAUGCAUGCCUUUUUUUCCCCUAGUUUAUUUUGUUGCUACUGUUCUUAGAAAACUACCUAGUUUUAAUCUUGAAUGAAUAUAAACUACUAUUUCUUGUGUAGGACAUGUUCGUCAUCUGAGCUCCAGUUGUGUGUGGCACGACGAGUUUGGAUCAAGCCUUAUGUAACUUGCUCCUAUCUGGUAAUAUCUCAAGCUUGAAAUGCAAAUAGAACACUAGAUGCAUGAUCCAUGAUUCGUCAUCUGUUCUUAUUAGGCAAAGCUUAUUAUCAUCAUAUUUUCACUACUUUCCAUACAAUUUUUCUUAAAAUUUUGACCCAUGUCAUAUCAUCAAAAACAUUGAUCAGAUAACCUUGUAGAUGAAAUAUGUCUAUAUUUUUAUAUAGAGAUGUUAAAAGUAUAUUUUGACUGUCCGAUGUGCAAGCAUUGAUGUUUUCUUACAAAAUUAUAUUGAGUGCAUGCUCAACAAAAACCCUAUAAUACGGAGGUCAGGAAAUGAGUUUGGAGGAUUCAUAAGAGUGAGUAGAAUGCAUCCCGAUCUCUUGUAGUGAUGUAACAUUUGACGAUGUAAGAUCCGUGGAAGGUGGAUUGGAAUAUUGGAUGUUACGAGUAGUUUAGUUAUGAACUUUAUUAAUCAAGUGGAUGCUUUGAUAGACAUAGCAUGGCUGAUAAGUUUACCUUCAAGAACAGCCCAAAUUGACUGAUCAGAUAUAGGGUUUCCUUGAUCCACAAGCGACACUGCUCUAAGAAGCGUGGGGACGGCUUUCCUGCUACACCAAUACCUUUUCCUUUACUGGUACCUUCAAGAACUGGCUUCAAUAGCAAGGCAGGUAACGAGCAGUAGCGUCAUGGAGCCGUGUGACUGACUUUGUUGGAUAAGCCAAUCAAGUCGCUGGUGUACAAGAAAAAGAAUCCCUACAUCACCGACCGUCCAUUUGAUAUCUAACGGCCCUCUGAUGCAAAUUCCUGUUGAGGCAUUGCAGUUUGAUGCUUCUGCAUUUGAAGUGUUCGAAUAACCGAUGUUGAAAUGGCUAUUAGCAAAUUGCAUUGAUCUUUC